AUACGGAGGAUGCGAGCGUUAUCCGGAUUUAUUGGGUUUAAAGGGUGCGCAGGCGGGCGAUUAAGUCAGCGGUGAAAGGCUCGGGCUCAACCGGAGCAGUGCCGUUGAUACUGGUUGUCUUGAAUGCGGUCAAGGCCGGCGGAAUGUGGCGUGUAGCGGUGAAAUGCAUAGAUAUGCCACAGAACACCGAUAGCGAAGGCAGCUGGCCGGGCCUGCAUUGACGCUGAGGCACGAAAGCGUGGGGAUCGAACAGGAUUAGAUACCCUGGUAGUCCACGCUGUAAACGAUGGACACUCGUUGUCGGCGACAGACAGUCGGCGGCCAAGCGAAAGUGAUAAGUGUCCCACCUGGGGAGUACGGUCGCAAGGCUGAAACUCAAAUGAAUUGGCGGGG
rnacentral:rRNA from 1 species